UAGAUUCAGUAUGAAAAUAGCACAGUCAAUACAGUAACACCUGUGCUCUGUAUUUUGGCAUUACAUUCAAUUUCUUUUAUGUUUCCCCCACAUUUUUACUUCAGACAUGCUCUAGAUUUUUGUACUGACAACACAUAGUGGUAUUGAGAAGUUGUUAGCAGGAAAUUGGGGCUUUUGGCAAAUGAGAAGGUGUGGGAGGGUUGGGCCAAUGGAAUAAGGACACUAGCUAGAUGUUUCUGCUAAAGUGAUCAGCAGGAAAACAGGGAUAGUGAGGACCGGAGCCAGCCAGCCCUGUUCCAUGAAACAGUCCUUUAAGGUUCCAGGAGUUCUGGAGCAGAUGAAGGCCACAGUUGUCUCUUUUCCAAGCUGAAAAAGUGUGAAGUGUGUGAGUGUCCAAGGAACAGGCACUGGAAUCUGGAUACUAGUGGGCUAGAGAAACCUGCUUGAACCACAGCACAGCUCUAUAAAAGAGGACUGUGAAAUCCUUGAACCAAUGGAAAGAAAUUGAGUCUAGGGACCAGGACAGAAAGAACAUGGAGGGAAAGUGUCUCCAGAGAAGCCAGGGGCUGUAGUGGGUCUGGCACAGCUCCCUAGACUAGAGGGAGCUGAAGGGGAACCAAGACACUAUGGCCCUGGAACAAGAGGUUCCUGCCUUUGUGAUACCCUCGCCCAAGGCUAGAGGCUUGGGACAGAAUAUCAUCACCACUGAAACUGAUAGCUAGCAGUUAAUGCUGCUCAAGUGGUUAACUACUGUCUUUAGAUCUGUGACUAUAUCUACACUUGGAGUUGGGGGAUAUGAUUCCCAGCUUGCAGAGACAUAC